rnacentral:rRNA from 1 species
CAGUCGCCACGGUAAUACGUAGGGGGCUAGCGUUGUUCGGAAUUACUAGGCGUAAAGCGCACGUAGGCGGCUUUGUAAGUUAGAGGUGAAAGCCCGGAGCUCAACUCCGGAAUUGCCUUUAAGACUGCAGAGCUAGCAGGUGAGAGAGGUGAGUGGAAUUCCGAGUGUAGAGGUGAAAUUCGUAGAUAUUCGGAAGAACACCAGUGGCGAAGGCGGCUCACUGGCUCAUACUGGACGCUGAGGUGCGAAAGCGUGGGGAGCAAACAGGAUUAGAUACCCCAGUAGUCCCUGUCUCUUAUAC